CAAAAGCAAAUUUGCAGACCAUUCCAUUAGCAGAUCAUUCCACCACAUUGCAGGACAGCUACGGGGGAUCAGUUGACCCCCACCUUUUUUCUUUUCACAGAAAUGUUAGUUUCUGCUGUGUUAGUUUAAGAUCCUCUUUCUGAUAAGAAACUGUCUUGCUUCUUGGUCUUUGUGGUUUUCACUCAAAUUAUGUGACACCCACGGCU